UGGCCAGCAACACCUAUCCCUACCUCCUCGCGGUACUGGCCGGGGUACGAGUAACCUUAGGGAAGAACGGGCAAUCAACCCCUGUGGGAACUCUGGUCGUAUGCUGACCAGGAAGG
rfam:Aedes aegypti strain Liverpool supercont1.36 genomic scaffold, whole genome shotgun sequence.